CAGCAGCCGCGGUAAUACGUAGGGCGCGAGCGUUGUCCGGAAUUAUUGGGCGUAAAGGGCUCGUAGGCGGCUUGUCGCGUCUGCUGUGAAAAUGCGGGGCUUAACUCCGUACGUGCAGUGGGUACGGGCAGGCUAGAGUGCGGUAGGGGUGACUGGAAUUCCUGGUGUAGCGGUGGAAUGCGCAGAUAUCAGGAGGAACACCAGUGGCGAAGGCGACUCUCUGGUCUGUAACUGACGCUGAGGAGCGAAAGCGUGGGGAGCGAACAGGAUUAGAUACCCGGGUAGUCCCUGUCUCUUAUAC
rnacentral:rRNA from 1 species